CUGAGCUAGACAUCUUUAGAAAUGGGAGGUACAGGCAUGGCCCUACUGACCUCUCCCAGGCUCCUCCAGGAAACACAACUCUAAGGGCUGGAUCAGAAUUACACUGGAUGGGGGUGCCUGGGUGGCUCAGUGGGUUAAAGCCUCUGCCUUUGGCUCAG